CCCUUAGAUGUUCUGGGCCGCACGCGCGCUACACUGAUUCGUUCAUCAAGCAUAUAACCUUGGCCGGGAGGUCUGGGUAAUCUUUCAAAGCGAAUCGUGCUGGGGAUAGAUUAUUGCAAUUAUUAAUCUUCAACGAGGAAUUCCUAGUAAUCGCAUGUCAUCAGCGUGCAAUGAUUACGUCCCUGCCCUUUGUACACACCGCCCGUCGCUACUACCGAUUGAAUGGUUUAGUGAGUAUCACGGACUGUUGCGUCUGGUUGGGUAACCUUCCAUUCGCAUACGGGAAGUGACACAAAUUUGAUCAUUUAGAGGAAGUAAAAGUCGUAACA
rnacentral:rRNA from 1 species